CGAAGUUGUUAUUUUUACGUUUUUUUGAUUAAAAUAAGUUUAGCCCAGCAUUGUUAUGAUAACCUAUGAAUUUUAGACGAUUUGGAAUGAAAAUUGUGGAGUUACGAUUUUUUUUCAAAAUAAAUGUAUGGAGCAGGAACAAGAAAUCAUCAUUACUCAAGAACCGCAAAACAAACCGUAAUAUCCUCGCAGGUGGUUAUACUACGAAUUAUUUGUGAUUUUUUGGCAUACUACAUAUAUCCGCCACGGGUGCGGUUUUUUUUUUUAAUCAUUAAUUGUUUCUAUGGAAAAAGCACAAAAACCAAAUUCAAAAUUUUAAGAUUUUUUUGAUUGAAAUGGGUUUUGCUCAGUGUGUUUAUGCUAAGUUAUAAGUUUCACACGAUUUGAGUUGAAAAUGGUAGAGUUAUGAUUUUUUUUCAAAAAAAAUGUAUGGAGCCGGAACAAAAUAUCAAAAUAUCUCAAGAACCACAACAAAUACGGUAAUAUCCUCGCAGAUAGUUAUGCUACGAAUUAUUUGUGAUUUUUUGGCAUACUACAUAUAUCCGCCACGGGUGCGAUAUUUUGAUAUUUUGUUCCGGCUCCAUACAUUUUUUUUGAAAAAAAAUCAUAACUCUACCAUUUUCAACUCAAAUCGUGUGAAACUUAUAACUUAGCAUAAACACACUGAGCAAAACCCAUUUCAAUCAAAAAAAUCUUAAAAUGUUGAAUUUGGUUUUUGUGCUUUUUCCAUAGAAACAAUUAAUGAUUUAAAAAAAAAAAAACCGCACCCGUGGCGGAUAUAUGUAGUAUACCAAAAAAUCACAAAUAAUUCGUAGUAUAACCACCUACGAGGAUAUUACGGUUUGUUUUGCGGUUCUUGAGUAAUGAUGAUUUCUUGUUCCUGCUCCAUACAUUUAUUUUGAAAAAAAAUCGUAACUCCACAAUUUUCAUUCCAAAUCGUCUAAAAUUCAUAG